rnacentral:rRNA from 1 species
GAUGAACGCUGGCGGCGUGCCUAAUACAUGCAAGUCGAGCGAACAGACGAGGAGCUUGCUCCUCUGACGUUAGCGGCGGACGGGUGAGUAACACGUGGAUAACCUACCUAUAAGACUGGGAUAACUUCGGGACACCGGAGCAAAUACCGUAUAAUAUCUUGAACCGCAUGGUUCAAUAGUGAAUGACGGAUUUGCUCACUCUUAUAGCUGCAACGGCGCCGCAUGAGCUAGUUGGUAAGAUAACGGCUUACGAAGGAAACGAGGCGUAGCCGACCUGAGAGGGUGUUCGGCCACCCUGGAACGGGGACACGGUCCAGACUCCCAGGGGAGGCGGCAGUAGGGAAUCUUGCGCAUGGGCGGAAAGCUUGACGGGGCAACGCCGCGUGGGUGAUGAAGGUCUUCGGAUCGUAAAACCCGGUUUUUGGGGAAGAACAAAUGGGGAAUUAACUAUGCACGUCGUGACGGUACCUAAUCAGAAAGCGACGGCUAACUACGUG